rnacentral:rRNA from 1 species
UACGAAGGGUGCAAGCGUUGUUCGGAUUUACUGGGCGUAAAGCGCGCGCAGGCGGAUUGAUAAGUCAGAUGUGAAAUCUCGGGGCUCAACCCCGAAACUGCGUCUGAAACUGUUGAUCUAGAGUUAUGUAGGGGAGAAGGGAAUUUCGCAUGUAGGGGUAAAAUCCGUAGAGAUGCGAAGGAACACCAGAGCCGAAGGGGCUUCUCUGGGCAUACACUGACGCUGAGGCGCGAAAGCGUGGGUAGCAAACAGGAUUAGAUACCCUGGUAGUCCACGCCGUAAACGAUGAGUACUAGAUUUUGGGGCCUUUGACCGCUUCAGAGUCGCAGCUAACGCAUUAAGUACUCCGCCUGGGAAGUACGGUCGCAAGACUAAACUCAAAGGAAUUGACGGGGGCCCACACAAGCGGUGGAUUAUGUGGUUUAAUUCGAAGCAACGCGCAGAACCUUACCUGGGCUUGAAAUCCCGAGAAGAUCGGCCAAAACUGAUUGUGCUCUUCGGAGAACUCGGUGACAGGCGCUGCAUGGCUGUCGUCAGCUCGUGUCGUGAGAUGUUGGGUUAAGUCUCGCAACGAGCGCAACCCCUAUCCUUAGUUGCCAGCAUUAAGUUGGGCACUCUAGGGAGACUGCCUGGGUUAACCAGGAGGAAGGUGGGGAUGACGUCAAGUCCUCAUGGCCCUUAUGUCCAGGGCUACACACGUAAUACAAUGGUGCAUACAAAGGGACGCGACCCCGCGAGGGUGAGCAAAUCUCAAAAAGUGCAUCUCAGUCCGGAUUGGAGUCUGCAACUCGACUCCAUGAAGUUAGAAUCGCUAGUAAUCGCGGAUCAGCACGCCGCGGUGAAUACGUUCCCGGGCC